GAUGAACGCUGGCGGCGUGCCUAAUACAUGCAAGUCGAGCGAACAGACGAGGAGCUUGCUCCUCUGACGUUAGCGGCGGACGGGUGAGUAACACGUGGAUAACCUACCUAUAAGACUGGGAUAACUUCGGGAAACCGGAGCUAAUACCGGAUAACAUGUUGAACCGCAUGGUUCAACAGUGAAAGACGGUCUUGCUGUCACUUAUAGAUGGAUCCGCGCCGCAUUAGCUAGUUGGUAAGGUAACGGCUUACCAAGGCAACGAUGCGUAGCCGACCUGAGAGGGUGAUCGGUCACACUGGAACUGAGACACGGUCCAGACUCCUACGGGAGGCAGCAGUAGGGAAUCUUCCGCAAUGGGCGAAAGCCUGACGGAGCAACGCCGCGUGAGUGAAGAAGGUCUUCGGAUCGUAAAACUCUGUUAUUAGGGAAGAACAAAUGUGUAAGUAACUAUGCACGUCUUGACGGUACCUAAUCAGAAAGCCACGGCUAACUACGUG
rnacentral:rRNA from 1 species